rnacentral:tRNA from 1 species
GGGGUUGUGGCUCAGAGGCAGUGUGCUCGCCUAGUAUGUGAGAGGCUCUGGGUUCCAUCCUCAGCACCACA